rnacentral:ncRNA from 1 species
GUUGAAACGUGAAUAAAGGAAUAGUAAUGAUAUCAAACUGUGUAGAGAGUUGACGGUUGGUGGAAGUCAAUCAGGGUGAAUCAUGAACUCGCCUUUUAGUUGUAUAAGCGAAAGAAGUAGUUUAUGCCGUUUUCCGCGUUAAGGAUAUAUGAGUGAAUGCAAUAAGCAUUAAUGUGGGUGGUACCGCGGGAGCUUAAGUCUCUCGUCCCAGAG